rnacentral:tRNA from 1 species
CGAGAUAUAGCUAAGGAUAAAGCUUUUCUUUUACAAAGAAAAAAUAUUUGUGAAACUCAAAUUAUUUUGA